UACGGGGGGGGCAAGCGUUGUUCGGAAUUACUGGGCGUAAAGGGCUCGUAGGCGGCCAACUAAGUCAGACGUGAAAUCCCUCGGCUUAACCGGGGAACUGCAUCUGAUACUGGAUGGCUUGAGAUUGGGAGAGGGAUGUGGAAUUCCAGGUGUAGCGGUGAAAUGCGUAGAUAUCUGGAGGAACACCGGUGGCGAAGGCGGCAUCCUGGACCGAGAUUGACGCUGAGGCGCGAAAGCUAGGGGAGCAAACGGG
rnacentral:rRNA from 1 species